GCAAAUGUGUAGAGAAAAAUGGAAAACCUCCUCCCUCCUCCCAUGUUUACACCGCCGGUGAGUUUUUUCAUCUCCGGUGAUAAUCGUUUGUGAUCACCAUUGCCGGCAUCUACUUCACAACCGUUAUCUGGCCUGUUCUUCCUAUUGCUUGGUUAAUAUCGAGAAGCAACCCGACAUCGAAGUUAAAGUUUCAUUGAGUAGGUAGAAAAUCAUUGCGUGGUGCAGCAGUUUCGUCGCCAUCUGGAUUUUUCUUGUUCAUCGGCUUAAGCUCCGGAGUUAGCUUCCAAGGGAGCCGGAGUCGAAGAUGAGAGAGACACAAAGAAGCUUGCAGCCGGCGUCGGAGAAGAGAGAGACACGAAGAAGAUUGUAGCUGGAGUCGGAUAAGAGAAACGCACGAAGAUUCUUGUAGCCGGAGUCGAAGAAGAGACAGGCACGAAGAAGCUUGUAGCCGGAGUCAGUGAAGAGACAAUAACUCGUCGAAGGCUGUAACGUAUGAGAGCAGGUAACGUAUGGGAAUGGUUAUAGUACAUUCUGGAAAAGAGUGAUAUAUAUGAGCGGGAAAGCCAUGUAGAUUUUAGGGUUUUGUUUAAACAUCUAUGUGGCAUGCUUAGUUGGCAUGCCACAUAGAUUAUGUAGAUUAUGUAUACCAACUAUUAUGUAUCUAUCUCAUUUUCCUUA